rnacentral:rRNA from 1 species
CCUACGGGAGGCAGCAGUGAGGAAUAUUGGUCAAUGGGCGAGAGCCUGAACCAGCCAAGUCGCGUGAGGGAGUACUGCCCUAUGGGUUGUAAACCUCUUUUGUCGGGGAGCAAAAGCCGGACGUGUCCGGCUGUGAGAGUACCCGAAGAAAAAGCAUCGGCUAACUCCGUGCCAGCAGCCGCGGUAAUACGGAGGAUGCGAGCGUUAUGCGGAUUUAUGGGGUUGAAAGGGUGCGCAGGCGGAUUUUUAAGUCAGCGGUCAAAUCGUGGGGCUCAACCCCAUCCAGCCGUUGAAACUGGGGAUCUAGAGUGUGCGAGAGGUAUGCGGAAUGCGUGGUGUAGCGGUGAAAUGCAUAGAUAUCACGCAGAACCCCGAUUGCGAAGGCAGCAUACCGGUGCACAACUGACGCUCAGGCACGAAAGCGUGGGUAUCGAACAGGAUUAGAUACCCGGGUAGUC